rnacentral:rRNA from 1 species
GACGAACGCUGGCGGCGUGCUUAACACAUGCAAGUCGAACGGAAAGGCCCUGCUUUUGUGGUGUGCUCGAGUGGCGAACGGGUGAGUAACACGUGAGUAACCUGCCCUUGACUUUGGGAUAACUUCAGGAAACUGGGGCUAAUACCGGAUAGGAGCUCCUGCUGCAUGGUGGGGGUUGGAAAGUUUCGGCGGUUGGGGAUGGACUCGCGGCUUAUCAGCUUGUUGGUGGGGUAGUGGCUUACCAAGGCUUUGACGGGUAGCCGGCCUGAGAGGGUGACCGGCCACAUUGGGACUGAGAUACGGCCCAGACUCCUACGGGAGGCAGCAGUGGGGAAUAUUGCACAAUGGGCGGAAGCCUGAUGCAGCAACGCCGCGUGCGGGAUGACGGCCUUCGUGUUGUAAACCGCUUUCGCCUGUGACGAAGCGUGAGUGACGGUAAUGGGUAAAGAAGCACCGGCUAACUACGUG